UACGAAGGGGGCUAGCGUUGUUCGGAAUCACUGGGCGUAAAGGGCGCGUAGGCGGCGCGACAAGUCAGGCGUGAAAGCCCCGGGCUCAACCCGGGAAUUGCGCUUGAUACUGUCGUGCUUGAGGCCGGGAGAGGAUGGCGGAAUUCCCAGUGUAGAGGUGAAAUUCGUAGAUAUUGGGAAGAACACCGGUGGCGAAGGCGGCCAUCUGGACCGGUUCUGACGCUGAGGCGCAAAAGCGUGGGGAGCAAACAGG
rnacentral:rRNA from 1 species